UAGACCACUGUGUGCCGCCUCUUCCAUGGACGCAACAGCUUCUUCGACCCCGCUGCCGACGCCAUGGAGAUCGUCAAGAUUGCAUUCCUCAGGAAGAUACUCCUUUCGUCCGUCAAACCUACCGGACAUGAUGGAAAAUCUCCAUUGCGAACGACACCGGUCAUUUUCUCUUGCCAAGCGGUGCUGCAGAAGUUGACGCAGUUUGGGCUUGAAGAUGCACAGGAUGGCGCCGUCGUCCUCGUGCUUUCUUCGCUGAUGAAGAUGCACUGGAUGGCGUCGUUGUCCUCUUGCUCUCUCCGCUGAUGAAGAUGCACUGGAUGGUGCAGUCGUCCUCAGGCUUUCUCCGCUGAUAAAGAUGCACUGGAUGGCGGCGUCGUCCUCGAGCUUUCUCCAUUGAUGGGUUAGGUUUCAGAAUUAAGCCAUGUAUGUAGUAGUUUGGCUCUGUCAUGUUGUAAUGUUUGUGAUGGAAGGACGCGAAGUACCUGUGCUUCCUGGGAUGUGUAGUGGACUCGAGAUGGUUUUUAUCACCUCAUCUGAGAAGUAGUUGAUGACAUAGAUAUUUAACUUUGUUUUGGUGAAGAUGUAUUGCACUGCGCUGUGUGCGCGCGCACACAUGCAUGCGUGUUCCUGUUUGAUCAAAUCUGGUGGAAGUAACAUCUUCAUUGUGAAGGUUGGGAUGUGAAAUGAUGUGCAUCGUUAUGGGAAUUUUCUUUCUGGGUUAACUGCAUCAAGAGUUAAGUUGAUCAUAUUAUUCA